GAUGAACGCUAGCGAUAGGCCUAACACAUGCAAGUUGAGGGGCAGCAUAGAGUAGCAAUACUUUGAUGGCGACCGGCGCACGGGUGAGUAACACGUAUGCAACCUACCUACAUCAGGGGAAUAACCCGGAGAAAUUCGGACUAAUACCGCAUAAUACAGGGAUGCCGCAUGGCAAUAUUUGUUAAAGAUUUAUCGGAUGUAGAUGGGCAUGCGUUCCAUUAGCUAGUUGGUAAGGUAACGGCUUACCAAGGCAACGAUGGAUAGGGGAACUGAGAGGUUUGUCCCCCACACUGGAACUGAGACACGGACCAGACUCCUACGGGAGGCAGCAGUGAGGAAUAUUGGUCAAUGGACGAGAGUCUGAACCAGCCAAAUCGCGUGAAGGAAGACUGCCCUACGGGUUGUAAACUUCUUUUGUACAGGAAUAAAAGACAUUACGUGUAAUGUAUUGCAUGUACUGUACGAAUAAGCAUCGGCUAACUCCGCGCCAGCCGCCGCCGUAA
rnacentral:rRNA from 1 species